rnacentral:rRNA from 1 species
GAGCCUGCAGAAGGAUCAUUGUCGAGACUCG